rnacentral:rRNA from 1 species
GAUGAACGCUGACAGAAUGCUUAACACAUGCAAGUCAACUUGAACUUCGGUUUGGGUGGCGGACGGGUGAGUAACGCGUAAAGAACUUGCCUCACAGUUAGGGACAACAUUUGGAAACGAAUGCUAAUACCUGAUAUUAUGAUUUUAGGGCAUCCUAGAAUUAUGAAAGCUAUAUGCGCUGUGAGAGAGCUUUGCGUCCCAUUAGCUAGUUGGAGAGGUAACGGCUCACCAAGGCGAUGAUGGGUAGCCGGCCUGAGAGGGUGAACGGCCACAAGGGGACUGAGACACGGCCCUUACUCCUACGGGAGGCAGCAGUGGGGAAUAUUGGACAAUGGACCAAGAGUCUGAUCCAGCAAUUCUGUGUGCACGAUGAAGUUUUUCGGAAUGUAAAGUGCUUUCAGUUGGGAAGAAAAAAAUGACGGUACCAACAGAAGAAGUGACGGCUAAAUACGUGCCAGCAGCCGCGGUAAUACGUAUGUCACAAGCGUUAUCCGGAUUUAUUGGGCGUAAAGCGCGUCUAGGUGGUUAUGUAAGUCUGAUGUGAAAAUGCAGGGCUCAACUCUGUAUUGCGUUGGAAACUGUGUAACUAGAGUACUGGAGAGGUAAGCGGAACUACAAGUGUAGAGGUGAAAUUCGUAGAUAUUUGUAGGAAUGCCGAUGGGGAAGCCAGCUUACUGGACAGAUACUGACGCUGAAGCGCGAAAGCGUGGGUAGCAAACAGG